GACAUUCACUUUUUGUGGAGUUUCUUGUCUCCACAUCCCUGGCUUUGUUUUUGCAAGAACUGCUGCCUCUGGGGCCUUCGAGAUCGUGACCCAUCAUUUUCCUACAGAUGCAGCGCUGAGGAUCCUGGGGACCCCUCCUUAUGUAUCCUGUACCAGGGCUAAUAAACGGUGCUUCUCCAGCACCUGCAGCCUCGGGUCAGAGGAUGCAGUCACUGGCUCACCACUGCACAGUCCUCGGGGAUCAAGUAAAAUGGCACCUUCUCAGUGGAGCCUUCCCUGACCUCCCAAUCACACACACGUUCCUUUCCUGUCCUGCUUCCCUUCUGUAGCACACAUCACCAUGGAAAGGUCUAUUUAUUGUACUUGUUUUCUCUCUUUCCCACCAGAAUGCAAGUUUCACGAAGGUAGGGAUUUGUGUUUUUGCCCCCUGCCAUGCUGGUGCACCCCUAACACCCAGAACUGGAUCUAACAUAAAUACCUUAUAAAUAUUUGUUGAAUAAAUGAACUCCAGAACUUUCACUUCUAAAACACAGAAAAAUCCUCUGGGAGUUAAGAGACACCUCCCUGGAACUCCGUGCCCUGAGUCCGUGAGCUCUUGGCAAGCUGCCUGCGGGCUCACUGGAAAAACAACUUCCUGAAGGUCUACUCUGGGCUUGGACCUGCCCUAUCUGACUGUCAAGAAACUCAUUUCACCCCAACAGUGAUGGAAGGUGUAGGCGGUGUUAGACAAGGAUGCUGACCGCAGGUGGCCACUGCGCAGCCAGCCCAUUUGUCUCACCGUGGAGGCUCCCCAGCUACACAGCCUUGGGACCUGCUAACUUCACACAGACAGGCCCAUGCCCUGGGGGAUGUGGCCAGCAGAGCCAAGACUGCAGAAGGUCCCUGAUGGAGCCCCGUGCCUGGCUGUGGUUCUCGAUCCUCGUCAGAGCCCAGCCCACGCCGCCGUCUGGAGGUCCCCCUCCCCAGCCGGCAACUUCUGCUCUGAAGCAGACCCCUUGCAUCCUCCCUGCACCAGAGAAGGACUAAGCAUGUCUUACUAGCUAGUGCAACCGUUCAUCUCUCAACAGCCUGGCAGGGAGGGCGCUGCCAUCAUGGUUUCUGGAUUACAGGCCAGAACUCUGAGCUGCACUGCGGGUCCAGUGCCUGUAGAGGCCAAGGGCAGGCGGCCCAAAAUGUACCCCAAUGGCAUAGUGAUUAUUUUGAACUGAAGCUACUUGGGAAACAGCAGAUUCAAGGACACUGAAUCCCUCCUCUGUUUCCCUGAAAGCAGGAAGCAAAUCUUCCACAUGAAAGCUACCCUCCCCAUGCUAAGAAGUAAAAAGAUAUCCUUAUCUUCAGAUAGGAACUUUAAAAAAACUUUUUCAAGAUUUUAUUUUUUUUAAGACUUUAUUUUUAAGCAACCUCUGACACUCAGUGUGGGGCUCCAACUCACAACCCUGAGGUUGCAUCACAUGCUCUGACCGAGCCAGCCAGGAGCUCCCAGGUAGGAACUUUAAAGCCAAGAAAGCUGUAGAAACAAACCUUGUCACUUUUUACUAAUCUGUUUACUACCUGCCCAAAUUCCACCUAAAACUCCUUACUAAUUAAAGCUCUCAAACACCUGUUUUCUUUCUCCUGUCAAUCCCUCACAAAUUUAUUAUCAAUUGUUCUAAAAAGCAUAAAAACUGCCCGCCUUGCUCAUUUCUUUGGGUCCCAGUUUCAUUACCAGGCGUCCAUGCACACAUAUAAACCUGGUGGGGUUUUUUUUUUUUUCUUCUCCAGUUAAUGUUUCACGUAAAUUUAAUUCUUAAUCCAGUUGGAAGACCUUGAAGGGUAAAGGAGGAAUGUUCCACGCUCUGGCCGCAGAGCACUCCCCACCGGCGUGUGUUUGCCAUCCUUGGAAACAAAGCCGGAAGAGAAGUCCGGCGCAGUGGCCUGGCCCCUCAGAUGCUCAAGGAAAGAUCCCGCCCUCAGACAGGGCUCCCGUGAACCUGAAACCCAACUCAUCCCUUCCACCCC
ensembl:lncRNA